AAAAACUUAGGAUAGUAUUAAGACCAAAAGCCUUCAAAGCUUUAAGCAGGAGUGAGAAUCUCCUAGUUUUUG
rnacentral:tRNA from 1 species